GGUGCGUUCCAUUAGGUUGUUGGCGGGGUAACGGCCCACCAAGCCUUCGAUGGAUAGGGGUUCUGAGAGGAAGGUCCCCCACAUUGGAACUGAGACACGGUCCAAACUCCUACGGGGAGGCAGCAUG
rnacentral:rRNA from 1 species